ACGAGUCACUAUCGGUGACUAGUGGCGGACGGGUGAGUAACACGUAAGUAACCUGCCCUUAAGUGGGGAAUAACUCCGAGAAAUUGGAGCUAAUACCGCAUGUGGUGAUGGGGGUAACGCUCCAUCACUAAAGCCUUCGGGUGCUUGAGGAGGGGCUUGCGUCCGAUUAGCUAGUUGGUGAGGUAACGGCCUACCAAGGCAACGAUCGGUAGCUGGUUUGAGAGGACGACCAGCCACACUGGGACUGAGACACGGCCCAGACUCCUACGGGAGGCAGCAGCAAGGAAUAUUGGGCAAUGGGCGAAAGCCUGACCCAGCGACACCGCGUGGGGGAAGAAGGCCUUCGGGUUGUAAACCCCUUUUCCCGGGGAAGAAUAAUGACGGUACCCGGGGAAUAAGCCUCGGCUAACUACGUGCCAGCAGCCGCGGUAAUACGUAGGAGGCGAGCGUUAUCCGGAUUUACUGGGCGUAAAGAGGGCGUAGGCGGCCUUUCAAGUCGGAUGUGAAAUCUCCCGGCUAAACUGGGAGGGUGCAUUCGAUACUGAUGGGCUAGAGUGCAGCAGAGGGAAGCGGAAUUCCCGGUGUAGUGGUGAAAUGCGUAGAUAUCGGGAGGAACACUAGUGGCGAAGGCGGCUUUCUGGGCUGUUACUGACGCUGAGGCCCGAAGGCGUGGGUAGCAAACAGGAUUAGAUACCCUGGUAGUCCACGCAGUAAACGAUGGAUACUAGGUAUAGGGGG
rnacentral:rRNA from 1 species